rfam:Erinaceus europaeus unplaced genomic scaffold scaffold00044, whole genome shotgun sequence
GCGAUCACUUCAACAAUGCACAUACUAAAAUGGGGACAAUACACAGAUUAGUAUAGCAUCUGUGCAAGGAUGACAUGCAAAUUGAUGAAACCUUCCAGAUUUUU